rnacentral:misc_RNA from 2 species
UUGAAAUAAACCUGAUGGGUUGCUGCUGGUUCUCUUGGGAGCAUGUGCACGCUUGUCAUCUUUAUAUCUCCACCUGUGCACCCUUUGUAGACCUUUUCAGGUCUAUGUUGCUUCAUUUACCCCAAAUGUAUGUCAAUAGAAUGUUGUGCCUUUAAUAUCUAUA